AACAGGUGCCGAGGUUUGAAUCCUCACCUGUAAGAUCCAGUUUGACUUUUUCUGUACUCUCCUGCAGCUUCACCUCCUGUGACUCCACCUGGGUCUCAGCUGCUUUCUUCUUCAGGGACAAGUGCGUCCACCUUCUUGGAAACCUCCAUCCACCAGAUCUGUAAUUCCUCCCAUCCUAGCACAGUCGCUGGCUACAUUUCCUAGCCUGACUCUCACCCCAUGGAUCUCACGCCUCCUCUGCCAUUGGGCAGACAUUGAAACAGCAGAGGUUCUAUCCAUGGAAAUUCACCCAUACUCGUCUGCUGAAAGAUCAAAUAAUGGAAAUCUGCCUCCAGAGAACGUGGAAGGCUGACGCAGAAGGGGAACUGAAAGAUGCCCACAUUCAAAUCAAAACGGGAUGUUGAGAACUGACUGUUGCAACGCUGGCCCCCACCAGUCCCUAGGACAGGGGUGGCCAACCUGAGCCUGAGAAGGAGCCAGACUUUACCAAUGAACAUUGCCAAAGAGCCACCGGAAUAUGUCAGCAGCCCCCCAUCCACUAACCCCCUCCAGCCCCCAGCACCUCCUGCCCACCAGCAGCCCCACCAAUCAGUGCCUGGGAAUCUGGGAAUUACCUUCUGUAAAACUCAUCUUCUUUUGAAAACGUGUGGAAAUAGCUGAUUCAAGAAGUUGUUGACAGAUGGAUAGUACGCGUCUAUCAGCAGCUCCUUGGGUCACCAGCCGCUGUCAAGCAAGCCAGUUGGCAGACCGAAGGCAGGGCAAGAAUGCUGAAGCAGAACAUUCUUUGCUGUUGGGAUACGUGACAUCACAAUAAACUUAUACAGAAACACACCUGGACACCCACCCAGAGAGACACGCACCCACGAAGCUAGUAACAUUUACAACAUUGAGAGAUGCACCCAAAAUCUCUAGGAAUUUUGAUUUGGGGGAGGGGAUCAUAGGUGCUGACUGCAUGGGUGCUCCAGGGCGCUAACCACCCCCUCCCUCCCAGGGCCUUCUGCCUGCCACAACAAACAGCUGUUUGGCUGCAUUCAGGACGCUCCCAGUGGGUGGGGGAGGAGCAAAGCCGUAACUGACCCAGAGACGUGAUUUUAUUAAAAGGUUCGGAGGCCCAGAAACACGAAAAUGUUCGAAGGCCCUGUGGGAAGGAGCAGAGCGUUGGGCCUGUGGGGUCGAUACAAUGACUCACUGGAAGCUCUUUAGGACAGGGAGAGCUUUGUGUGGCUGGGCAGGGCCUAGCAGAAUGGGGCCCCGGGCUCAGACUGACGGCUGUGCAGCCAGUGGCAGGACAAACAAAUAACAAUGCAGGGGGGGAAGGAACAAAGCGACACAUCUAAUCGUUGGGAUUUUACACAAAGACCUUUCAGAAGAGCCCCAGACGGUGUCUGAGCUGGCUCGGAUGAGGCAGCAAGGGGCAACGCAGCCUGAGCCAGUGAAACUGCCAAUCCCCCAGGGAGCAGUGGAAGCAGGCCCAAGCCGUAGCAAAGAGCGGGUCCUGCCGGGAGACGGGAAGCAGGCAGAUUGCAGCUCUGUGGGACAGAGAGUGUCUGUUUGUUCUGUAUGUGGACGGCACCUGGCACAAUGGGGCUGGUCCCUGAGUGGGGCCUGUACACAGUGCUAAUAAAACAAGGGGAUUUGUUGGAUUACUGGCGAGCUCUGAAUCCCCCGAGUGCACAGGUGGCAGGUGACGGGGCAAGCCCUGGACAGACGGGAUCUGCCCAGCCAGGGCAGUGUGUGCAGGACAGGGAAGGGGAAAGGCCAUUGGGAGUGUUUCUGCAGAAGCAAAGAAAUCGGGAAACCAGCCCAACCAUGGCGUAGUGAGGCUGUUCCCUGGGCUAGAUCUCCACAGACAGCAGUCAUGGGCAGGCUGGGUGGGAUGGCCUGGAUUCACUUUGGAUUGGCUCCAGUGUAAACGAGACGAGAAUUGUCCCAGAAGGGCCCAGGUACAAGAGUGACAGACACUGUAGGUUUAGCCUGUGAAUAAAAAAAAUUAGGUGCAUUAUAAAACAGUAAAAUAAUCCCCCUGCUCCCCUUCUCCUGAUGGGUAACCCCAAGUCUGACCUUGUACCUGUCCAUGGGGCAUCAUCACUGAAUGGGGGAGUAGUUAACGAGGCACCACAGGAAUUGGCUGUAGCCCCCUCACUAUUCAACUUUGUAAUUAACCAUCUGGAAGUAAAUAUAAAAUCACUGCUAAUAAAGUCUGUGGCUAGCACAGCUUGGAGGAGUGGUAAAUAAUGCUAAUGACGGGGAGUUGUACAGAGCAGCCUGGAUGGUUUGGUAAACUGGGAUUAGUAAAACAAAUGCAGUUUAAUACAGCCAAAAGCCAGGCCCUAUAGCUGGGAAUGGAGGCCUGCCUUCAUUUGGUGCCAGAAUUGGGUCUCAGGAGAGGAGGGUGUUUGUUUUGGGGGGUUGUUAUGCUUAGUGAAAGUAACAUUUACUUGUUGAUUCCAGUUGUUUAUAAUAUCCUGGGCAUACUCAAUAUCUUGUGCCCCAGCCAAUGGCCCAGGCCCCAAGCAAUGUCUAUCUAAUGCUCUGGAUCAAACCCGGUGAUCUGGGCCCAUCGAAUACUCCACCUAAUAUUCAUAUAAUGCCCUGGGCCUGCCUAAUGUUAUGCCCACAUCUAAUGCCCAGGGUAUACCCAAUACACCAGUCCCACCCAACACCCAGGGCAAUCCCCUAGGUUCAUCCAAUACUGUGGGUCCUACCCAGCUCUCUGGGCUCCAUCCAAUAUCCUAGUAAUGCCCUGGGCACACAAUAAAAAAAAAAAUCCUAAAACACAAACUUGGGUCUACACUUACCAAUAGUUACAUUUCCUAUCUAAUAAAGUAGAUUUUCCCCCAAAGUCCAGUCGGUUGCAGAGCUGGCUGGUUUCUCAAGAACUAGAACCCAAAGGUUCAUGAGAGCAUCUCCAUCCACCAGGGGUUUCUUCAGUUACUCCUACUGGAAUUCUGCAUCACUGCACAAUGCAGAAUUUGCACAGAAUUAAUAUUCCACGCAGAAUUUUAUUUUUUCUCAAGAAUUUGUGAUUUCACCAAAAUAACAAUAUAAUUACACAUAGCUGGGGUUCCUGUGGUCAGUUCUGGGCAGCUGGGACAGCCCAAGCCCCAGUCACCCGGGGCUGACAGCGGGAGCCCCACCACACAUGAUUAUAUUGUGUUAUUUUAACAAAUAUGCAGAAUUUUUAAUUUUUUGGUGCAGAAUUCCCCAUGAGUACUCAGUGAAUGGAUGCAGGGUGCCUUUCCCUACACUACACAGAGUGUCUUUCCCAGACACUUAUAGUUGUCUGAAAGAUUCCACUGCUGAAGCUGUAUCACCCGUGCGUGAACACUUUUCACAAAGCGCUCACUCUAUAUCUGACCUGUCAGUCCUCAUCCUCAAAGGAAACCUGCACAACGGCUUCAAAAGA